rnacentral:lncRNA from 1 species
GCAUCAUAAACACAAUCAUCAUCAAUAUAUUAUUUUAAACAAAUAAGGUUUUGCAUUUCACAUCAAGAAUAGAGUUAAUAACAAAUUUCGUCUUUCAUCAACAUUUUUACUUAAAACACUUCAGACUUUUGAUAAUUUAUAUAUUUCUUAGAGGCAACUGCAUAGAUACCCAAGAUAUUUUUCAAAGUUCUAGUUUCUUUGUUCAUGAUCUUUUAAAAAGAGAG